rnacentral:rRNA from 1 species
GCUAGGACGAACGCUGGCGGCGUGCCUAACACAUGCAAGUCGAGCGGGGACAUGCGACGGAGCGGAAGUCUCGGAUGGAAGUGAAGAUGUAUGUUCUAGCGGCGGACGGGUGAGUAACGCGUGAGCAACCUGUCCCUUACAGGGGGAUAACACAGCGAAAGUUGUACUAAUACCGCAAUAAGACCACGGUGAGACAUCUCACAGGGGUCAAAGGAGUAAUCCGGUAAGGGGUGGGCUCGCGUCCGAUUAGAUAGUUGGUGAGGUAACGGCCCACCAAGUCGACGAUCGGUAGCCGACCUGAGAGGGUGAUCGGCCACAUUGGGACUGAGACACGGCCCAAACUCCUACGGGAGGCAGCAGUGGGGAAUAUUGGGCAAUGGGGGGAACCCUGACCCAGCAACGCCGCGUGAGGGAAGAAGGUUUUCGGAUCGUAAACCUCUGUCCUUGGUGAAGAGUAUGAGACGGUAGCCAAGGAGAAAGCCCCGGCUAACUACGUGCCAGCCGCCGC